rnacentral:ribozyme from 1 species
GGGGUGCGCAAUAGACUUACCUCCACGUGGUGCCCCCUGGGCAACGUGUAAUUACACGGCAAAAAAGUCUAU